GAGGGUAUAGCUUAGUGGUAGAGUGAGUGCGUGCUUAGUUUGCACAAGGUCCUAGGUUCAAUCCCCAAUACCUCCA
rnacentral:tRNA from 1 species